rnacentral:rRNA from 1 species
UACGAAUGGGGCAAGCGUUGUUCGGAAUCACUGGGCUUAAAGCGUGCGUAGGCGGACAUGAAAGUCAGGAGUGAAAUCCCGGGGCUCAACCUCGGAAUUGCUUUUGAAACUCCAUGUCUGGAAUCCGGGAGAGGUUAGCAGAAUUCCGAGUGUAGAGGUGAAAUUCGCAGAUAUUCGGAGGAAUACCAGUGGCGAAGGCGGCUAACUGGACCGGCAUUGACGCUGAGGCACGAAAGCGUGGGGAGCAAACAGG